UUGAAGGUCUUAUUUGUUUGGCAAUAAAUUAGUGUUAAUUAAAAAUAUUUAUUCCAAUGCCAAAGUUCCAAACAGCAGGUAAAGGCGGCAGGCUAUUUGGGUGUUUUUUUAAUUUGAUUUUUGAUUUUUGAUUUUUGCAGAGAUGGGUGUUGAAGGAUUUAGCAGUUGUAAAUGGCCUGGGCUGGUUAGAUAACAGAAUUCCAAGAGGGGUGGAUCCACCAUGGAACAUGGGGGUGCAGUUGCAUCCCAAAAAAAAAAAAAAUUUUUUUACUAGUAUUAAUAUUCAUAUAUAAAUUAUUUUAGAUUUAGUUUUUGCAACCCCAAUUAAAAGUUUUAAUCCAAAAUAAAAGAGAAAUUCAGUUUUUAAAAUCCUAAAUUCCAUUGACCCAACUAAAAAGAGAGCUCACCGUCUCUUUCUUUUUCAUUCUUUUGAUCAAGCCCAUCAUUUAAUCAAUCAAUUACCUCAAUUCUUAAUUAAACAAAAAAGUUGAAAGUAUACAUUUUGCAUUUGAAAUGCAAAGUUAUUACUAUUAUAUUUGUAUUUUAGUAAAAAAAAAUGUCUAAAAUGUAUCGAAGGCCUCAAAAAAAAAAUCUCGGGGGCUACCGCCCCCGAACCCCCGUAGAAGUUCAACUCCCUCAAAAAAAUCCUAGCUCCACUAGUGUUUAUAAGAUUAUUUUUUGCAUCCCCAAUUUAAAAAUCCUGGAUCCGCCACUGUUUGAUGCAUUGAAACUUUGGGAUAUCCCAAGGCCCUUGAUUAUUUUUAUCAUUUAAGUUAAUUCUGUUUGAUUCUUAUCCCAUUCAAAGGAUGAGAUUGGAGAAAUCCUACUCUUGAGGAUAAAAAUACUCAAACAUGCAUCUUAUCAAUCAUGCAAAGUAAACACUCCCACAGAGGCGGCUUCCCGGAUAGCAAAAGAUACGAGGAAGCAAAGCUGGUUCAAUCUGCAGAAGCAGCUUCUGGAAGAAAGUUGAUAUUAUUGCAAGAUUGGUGGCUGGUCAAAGCAUGUCCAGAUUCUCAUGGCAAACGAUUAUGCAUUGGAGGCUUCACUUCAAAAGGGUAAAGUUCAGUUUCUUGCUAAUUCUUUGUACACAAUUUGCAUGAUAAAGAAGUCUGAGAAUGUUCAGAAAUAUAAAGAGGUGAAAUAAACUGUGAAUAUGAUAUUGUGGUGUGUGAAAUGUUGAUUGUAUUUUUGGUUCACAAUAAGUUCUUUAACUUCUGAGAAACUAAAGAUGUCUUUUGUUGCUUUGGGCUGAAGCAUGGGUCAUAAUAAUCUGAAAUUUAAUCAAGUUUCUAAAUUUACAGUAAGUUUUGAUUUUGUGAGAGGAUUUUGAAUACAUACCAUUGGGAAUUUGAAUUUGUGGAAUGUAUUUGAGUUUAGGUGAAUAGCUCGAAUAUUAAAGUACGGUAACGUGAAAUUUAAACAAUCAUAUAGAUUAUAUCCAAAAUUAGUUUAAUGCAACUGAAUAGAAGCUUACCAGAUGAGGCCUUGACUUUAAUCAUGGAAUGAUGGAGCUGGAAAAUGUUUGUGUGUU